rnacentral:rRNA from 1 species
UGAACUAGCUACUGAAAUCAUAUUUGUGUCAAAUGUGAUGUCGUAAGGGAAAAUAUUGAUAUUACCUUACUAAUAGUGUCGUCCAAAACUGGUGCCAGAAGACUCGGUAAGGCCAGAGACGCAAACGUUAAUCGUCUUAAUCAGGCGUAAAGGGUUUGUAGGCAGCUUUGAAAAUAUUCAUUUAAUAUAGCCGUAGUAAAUUAAUACCAAUUAAAGAUAGAAUCAAAUAGAGGAUAGUUACCAAAUCAUGCUUAGAGGAGGGCUGAUAUCCUAAGAUACUAAGUGGAAUACUAGGAGCGUAAGCUUUUUAUCCAAUAAUGAUUGACGCUGAGAAACGAAGGUGAGGAUAGGAAAUAGGAUUAGAUACCCAGAUACCCCUCUCUGUCAACGAUGAAUGGUAGUUAUUAGUUUUAAAUUAGUGACGAUGUUAACGCGUUAACCAUUCCGCCUUGUGAGUACGACUGCAAAGUUGAAAAAAAAAUUAGUCGGUCUCGGAGCAAUCGAAGUG